UACGUAGGGUGCAAGCGUUAUCCGGAAUUAUUGGGCGUAAAGAGCUCGUAGGCGGUUUGUCGCGUCUGCUGUGAAACCCGAGGCUCAACCUCGGGCCUGCAGUGGGUACGGGCAGACUAGAGUGCGGUAGGGGAGACUGGAAUUCCUGGUGUAGCGGUGAAAUGCGCAGAUAUCAGGAGGAACACCGGUGGCGAAGGCGGAU
rnacentral:rRNA from 1 species